GGGAAGCCAAUUUUGACAGCCUAUGACAGUUCAAAUCCAUGGUGGACUCUAAUUGAAGAAGCCAUAGUUAAAGCCAAGGGCAAAAUUGGAAAACCAGAGAUAUUUCCUGCUUCAACCGAUGCUCGAUACUUCAGGAUGAAGGGUGUUCAUGCAAUUGGGUUUUCUCCCAUGGCAAACACUCCUAUCCUUCUCCAUGAUCAUAAUGAGGUGAACAUUAUCUUUUACAAUCUUUUGGACAAAUUUUCCGACUCACUAUUCAAUAAUCUUAUGAAUUUGUGUUUUUGUUGUUGAUGCAGUUUUUGAACAAGGAAGAAUACUUGAAAGGGAUUGAGGUGUAUGAGUCGAUUCUCAAAGCUUUUGCAUCUUUUGUUGAAGCUAAAAAUGGGGAAGAUUCUUUGGGAGAUGAGUUAUAAAAACGGAUGUAGAUUUGUAGGCAAUUAAACCCUCUAGUGCAUUUACUACAUGCUUUUGGUGUCUUGAAGUGAAGAUUUCCUAUAAUUAGAAACUCAAUUGAGCCAUUUUACUCGGUGAAACUCAAUCACAAAUAUUUUUGGCCUAUUGCAUACUACAUAAUUUUUUGCUUGAAGAAGAUCGUGAUAUAGAACUUGAAGAAGUGACAUGUGAGGUGUUAAAUACAUGGACGAGAGAGGGGAACAAAUAAGAUUCAUUCAAUAUCAAACAAAAUGUAGAGUGAAUAUUUAAUACGUCUAUUUAGCUUAUUACACAUGUUUCGUACUAUUUGACUUUGAAACUUCAUUAAUGUUCAAUGUUUAAUGUUUCAUUAUUGUCAAGAUUUAAGUAAUGUUUAUGUUAUCGUCUUUUCUUUUUUCAACGAGUUCAAUUGGUAAUACAAAAAAUAACAUAGCUAAACAAAGAUGGUCCAAUAAACCAAGUGUUGUUGUAAGUGUGUUUUAAUUAAUACAAAAAAUUAAGGGCAAAAACAUAAGUGUGGAUUUUCUAAUUUUUCUUCCAACUCAAGAACAUGAUUCCCCUUCCAUUCCAUUAUAUUCCCCUCAAACUCAAGAACAUUAGUAACUAAUAUUUCCCUUCCAUUGAAUACCCUAUCCUCUUUUACCCUUCCUAAAAAAAAAAAAAAACUCAAGAACAUGGUGUAAAAAAAUUCAAAAACUUAUUUUACUGGUUUAACCUAUGUUUUAGUCCAAUUCUAAAAUAAAUCUAGUACUUUUAAAGUAAUAUAUAACGUUUAUAUAUAAAUUUAAGAAAGAAAAAAUGGUGAAAAUGUGAGUUUCCUAACAGUUUUUCGAGCUGUAAAACAUGAUAGAGUUUUGAAUUAUUUUUUGAGAUACACGCAUUUAAAUACCAGGAACUAUAGUCUUUGGUAUUUUGGGAUUAGCAAGUCGUAAUUGACCAUUGCAAGAUUAUUAUUUGUCAUUUUAAUGAUAUCUUAAAGAAAAUAUCAAUUUAAUUGUAGAUUUUUGUAGAUUAUCUCUUUAAUAAUAUGUAUGAUAAAGAUUCGAUGCCCAAAAACAAAAACAAACCCGGAACCUAGUUCUGUGAAACGGCUUUUUAUAGAAUUUACCAGAUGAGAAGAACCAGGCAUCAAAAUCACGAUGAGCUUCAAUGGUCUCUUUUACUUCAUCGCCGUCGCCCUUCUGCUACUAACCACAUCCACCAUCGCCAACGAUUCAAUCCUCUCAAGAUUCCAACAGUACCUUCAAAUCGACACAGCUCACCCAUCACCCAACUACCACAAAGCCGCCGAUUUCAUUAUCUCCCAAGCUAAAUCCCUCUCCCUCGAAUCCCGCACCAUUGAAUUCGUCAAAAACAAGCCUUUAAUCCUUCUAAAAUGGACUGGCAAAAACCCCGAUCUCCCUUCCAUUCUCCUCAACUCCCACACCGAUGUCGUCCCCGUCGAACCCCACAAAUGGUCCCACCCUCCAUUCGAUGCUGCAAUCGAUCAUGAGAACGGAAACAUCUACGCUAGAGGCUCACAGGAUAUGAAGUGCGUCGGGUUGCAGUAUCUGGAAGCAAUUCGGAAGCUCAAGGAUGCGAAAUUCGAGCCUCUUAGGACAAUCUACCUCUCGUUUGUUCCCGAUGAGGAAAUCGGUGGACACGAUGGAGCUGAGAAGUUUGCGAAUUCGGAAAUUUUUGAUGAGAUGAACGUUGGGAUUGUGUUGGAUGAAGGAUUGGCGUCACCGGAGGAUUAUUAUAGGCUGUUCUAUGCAGAGAGGUGUCCGAUGUGGUUGGUGAUAAAAGCUACCGGAGCUCCUGGGCAUGGGGCUAAGCUGUAUGAUAACACUGCGAUGGAGAAUUUGUUGAAGAGUAUCGAGAGUGUGAGAAGAUUCAGAGCAUCUCAGCUUGAUAUGGUGAAGGCUGGCCUCAAGGAGGAAGGCGAGGUUGUCUCUGUGAACAUGGUGUUUCUUAAAGCCGGAACCCCAUCUCCUACUGUAUGUAUAACAUCUAAAUCCAUGAUUCCAUAUCUCUCUUUCUCUCUCGAUUGUAAGAAAUCUAAUUGAAUUGUUUUGUGCAUUAGGGUUUUGUGAUGAAUCUGCAACCAUCUGAAGCACAUGCUGGUUUUGAUAUUCGGGUGCCACCAAUUGCUGAUCAAGCAUCGUUGGAGAGACGAAUUGCAGAAGAAUGGGCCCCAGCUUCACGUAACAUGACAUUUGAGGUAAGAAAUAAACCCUUGUUUCUAUUUUUAUCUUUCAUGCUUUCCAUACUUGCAUCUGUUUUGGAUUCCUUAUAAAGAUUGACUCUUUUCAUUGAUUUAUAUUUAUAGCAUUUUUUUCCCCUAUAUCUUCCUAUUCUAUUUCUAACAUUGUAUUUUGUAAAAUCUUCCUGAUUAUAGCAAUGUUAUGAAAAGGCCAAGUAAUUUGCAUUAGAUAUUUUCAAUAUAAUGUCCAUAUAAGGAAAAAGUUCAAAGUACAAAACUAUAAUUCAUAAGAAUUUUCAGAGUACAAUUACAAUGUCUUAAUAAGAAAAAACAACCAAAGUAGGAUUUCUAUUUAUUGCAUUUAGUUUUUUUAACUAUUUAUCAUCUUAAACAGUAUAAGCAGAAGGUUUCUGUGUAUGGUGCAAAUGGGAAGCCAAUUUUGACAGCCUAUGAUAGUUCAAAUCCAUGGUGGUCUCUAAUUGAAGAAGCCAUAGUUAAAGCCAAGGGCAAAAUUGGAAAACCAGAGAUAUUUCCAGCUUCAACUGAUGCACGAUACUUCAGGAUGAAGGGUGUUCCUGCAAUUGGAUUUUCUCCCAUGGCAAACACUCCUAUCCUUCUUCAUGACCAUAAUGAGGUGAACCUUUUGAACAAAUUUUUUUUGGACAAUUUUGGGCAUCACUAAUCGUAUUAAUUUGUGUUUUUUUGUUGUUGUAGUUUUUGAACAAAGAAGAAUACUUGAAAGGGAUUGAGGUGUAUGAGUCAAUUCUCAAAUCUUUUGCAUCUUUUGUUGAGGGUAAAAAUGGGAAAGAUCCUUUGAGAGAUGAGCUAUAAAAGAUCGGUUGCGUGUGUUAGAAUUGUGUAAAAAUUCAGGCAUAAUUCUAUUUGGAAAAUAAACCAUGAUUCCUAAUGUAUCUUUAAGAAACCUGGAAUGUUUGUAAUUUUAGCACCUUUAUUUUUGCAAUAAAAUCAUGGAGGAUUUUUGCCAAAUAGGAUAGCAUUGUACUUUCAUUGGUUGGUUUAUUAUAGCAUCUUACUCUCAUUUCUUC
rnacentral:lncRNA from 1 species